rnacentral:rRNA from 1 species
ACGAGCGCAACCCCUAUCUUUAGUUGCCAGCAUGUUUGGGUGGGCACUCUAGAGAGACUGCCGGUGACAAGCCGGAGGAAGGUGGGGAUGACGUCAAGUCCUCAUGGCCCUUAUGUCCUGGGCUACACACGUGCUACAAUGGCGAUGACAAUGGGAAGCUAGAUGGCGACAUCGUGCUGAUCUCAAAAAGUCGUCUCAGUUCGGAUUGCACUCUGCAACUCGAGUGCAUGAAGGUGGAAUCGCUAGUAAUCGCGGAUCAGCAUGCCGCGGUGAAUACGUUCCCGGGUCUUGUACACAC